UGGAAGUAAAAGUCGUAACAAGGUCUCCGUUGGUGAACCAGCGGAGGGAUCAUUACCGAGUUUACAACUCCCAAACCCAAUGUGAACGUUACCAAACUGUUGCCUCGGCGGGAUCUCUGCCCCGGGCGCGUCGCAGCCCCGGACCAAGGCGCCCGCCGGAGGACCAACCAAAACUCUUAUUGUAUACCCCCUCGCGGGUUUUUUACUAUCUGAGCCAUCUCGGCGCCCCUCGUGGGCGUUUCGAAAAUGAAUCAAAACUUUCAACAACGGAUCUCUUGGUUCUGGCAUCGAUGAAGAACGCAGCGAAAUGCGAUAAGUAAUGUGAAUUGCAGAAUUCAGUGAAUCAUCGAAUCUUUGAACGCACAUUGCGCCCGCCAGUAUUCUGGCGGGCAUGCCUGUCCGAGCGUCAUUUCAACCCUCGAACCCCUCCGGGGGGUCGGCGUUGGGGAUCGGCCCUUUACGGGGCCGGCCCCGAAAUACAGUGGCGGUCUCGCCGCAGCCUCUCCUGCGCAGUAGUUUGCACACUCGCAUCGGGAGCGCGGCGCGUCCACAGCCGUUAAACACCCCAAACUUCUGAAAUGUUGACCUCGGAUCAGGUAGGAAUACCC
rnacentral:rRNA from 1 species